rnacentral:lncRNA from 1 species
AUUGAUUUGUAGAGAUUCCAUACAAAAUUUUGAUUCAAUUCUCUCGAAAUCUCAUGAGGAGAUGUGAGAUUUGUGAAUACUUAAAAUACAUUACGAAAUUUCUCAAAUUUCCUCUAAUUCAUCAACUUUCUGAAAUUCUUUAAAAUCAAUUUCUAAUUGAAUACACCUGAAAUGUUAUAAACUUCUUUAAAAUCAUAAUUGAAUGCACCCGAAUUUCUAAGGAUUUUAAUUAACUAUCUUAAAAUUCUAAUUGAAUACACCUUAAAUUUUAGAGAAUCACUUAAAAUCCUAAUUGAAUACCCUUAAAUUCAUUAAAAGAAUUAAAAUCUCUCAAAAUCUCAAUUGAAUAGCCCCUUACUUUCCUUGUUUUGGUGUGACUAGGAAUAGGAAACUCAUGAUUCUCUUCGUCUCUUUUCCCCUUUGGGUUUGGGGAAUUUAUUAAUUGUAAGUUGUAACACUUGUGUGAGUGAUUAAACAAAGAAUCCAAAUCCAAAUAGUUUAUUUCAUAGACCAAAA